rnacentral:rRNA from 1 species
UACGGAGGAUCCGAGCGUUAUCCGGAUUUAUUGGGUUUAAAGGGUGCGCAGGCGGGAUGUUAAGUCGGCGGUGAAAUUUUGCAGCUCAACUGUAAAAGUGCCUUCGAUACUGGCUUCCUUGAGUGUGGAUGAGGUAGGCGGAAUUUGUGGUGUAGCGGUGAAAUGCAUAGAUAUCACGAGGAACUCCGAUUGCGCAGGCAGCUUACUAAACCAUAACUGACGCUCAGGCACGAAGGCGUGGGGAUCAAACAGGAUUAGAUA